rnacentral:rRNA from 2 species
UGACGAGCGGCGGACGGGUGAGUAAUGUCUGGGAAACUGCCUGAUGGAGGGGGAUAACUACUGGAAACGGUAGCUAAUACCGCAUAACGUCUUCGGACCAAAGAGGGGGACCUUCGGGCCUCUUGCCAUCAGAUGUGCCCAGAUGGGAUUAGCUAGUAGGUGGGGUAAUGGCUCACCUAGGCGACGAUCCCUAGCUGGUCUGAGAGGAUGACCAGCCACACUGGAACUGAGACACGGUCCAGACUCCUACGGGAGGCAGCAGUGGGGAAUAUUGCACAAUGGGCGCAAGCCUGAUGCAGCCAUGCCGCGUGUAUGAAGAAGGCCUUCGGGUUGUAAAGUACUUUCAGCGAGGAGGAAGGCAUUGUGGUUAAUAACCACAGUGAUUGACGUUACUCGCAGAAGAAGCACCGGCUAACUCCGUGCCAGCAGCCGCGGUAAUACGGAGGGUGCAAGCGUUAAUCGGAAUUACUGGGCGUAAAGCGCACGCAGGCGGUCUGUCAAGUCGGAUGUGAAAUCCCCGGGCUCAACCUGGGAACUGCAUUCGAAACUGGCAGGCUAGAGUCUUGUAGAGGGGGGUAGAAUUCCAGGUGUAGCGGUGAAAUGCGUAGAGAUCUGGAGGAAUACCGGUGGCGAAGGCGGCCCCCUGGACAAAGACUGACGCUCAG